rnacentral:rRNA from 1 species
ACUCCUACGGGAGGCAGCAGUAGGGAAUCUUCCACAAUGGGUGCAAACCUGAUGGAGCAAUGCCGCGUGAGUGAAGAAGGUCUUCGGAUCGUAAAGCUCUGUUGUUAGAGAAGAACACGUGCUAGGUAACUACUAGCGCCUUGACGGUAUCUAACCAGAAAGUCACGGCUAACUACGUGCCAGCAGCCGCGGUAAUACGUAGGUGACAAGCGUUGUCCGGAUUUAUUGGGCGUAAAGGGAGCGCAGGCGGUCUGUUUAGUCUAAUGUGAAAGCCCACGGCUUAACCGUGGAACGGCAUUGGAAACUGACAGACUUGAAUGUAGAAGAGGAAAAUGGAAUUCCAAGUGUAGCGGUGGAAUGCGUAGAUAUUUGGAGGAACACCAGUGGCGAAGGCGAUUUUCUGGUCUAACAUUGACGCUGAGGCUCGAAAGCGUGGGGAGCGAACAGGAUUAGAUACCCUGGUAGGAUAG